rnacentral:rRNA from 1 species
AUGACGGGCACAACCUCCGCCCUCACCACCAGCACCGUCGGCGCCCUCAUCAACAGCACCGCCGGCGCCCUCACUUCUGCCGCUGCCGGCUCUAUCGCUUCCGCACCAACCAUCUCCAUGCCGUCGGUUGCUGGACUCAUCACUGUCCGGCUCACCCGCGCGAAUUUCCACUUAUGGAAAGCGCAGGUCGUCCCCAACCUCUCCGGUGCAGGUCUCUUCGGUUACCUCGACGGCUCCUUUCCCCAGCCGCCGCAGACAGUCAUCGAAGGCACCGGUGAUGCGGCACAUCAGGUGCCCAACCCGGCGUACACAGUCUGGUGGAUGGCCGACCAGGCUGUUCUUGGCGCCCUCCUGUCCUCCAUGACCGAGGAAGUCCUCGGUCAGAUGACGCGCAUGACCUCCUCGGCCGCCGCAUGGACUGCCCUCUGCGCCAUGUUCGCUGCGCAGAAUAGGGCUGCUGUUCAUCAGCUUCGCACGCAACUGAACCAGACCAAGAAAAAGGACAUGUCCGUGUCUGAGUACUUCCACAAGAUGACGGGCAACGCCGAUGCCAUGGCUGCUGUCGGCGACCCCCUGUCCGAUGAACAGAUCAUCGGCCACAUCCAGGGUGGCUUGGGUCAGGAGUACGACCCCCUGGUGGCUUCGCUCACCAUCUUCGACGGAGCGAUCAGCCUCACCAACUUCUACGCGCAUCUCCUCAGCUUGGAGGCCCGUCAGGAGCAGCACGCCGCAGCUGGUGGCGAUUUUUCGUCCUCCGUCAACAACGUCGUUCGCCAUGGAGGUGGCUCGUCUUCCCGUAAUGGCAACCGCAACGGAGGUGUAGCUUAUGGCAGCCGCAAUGGCGGCCAGCAGCAUGGCGGCCAGAACGGCCAGCACCAUGGCGGUCGUGGCAACAAUGGAAACCACGGCGGCGGCGGCGGCAACCGUCGUCCCAAGUGUCAAAUCUGCCGUAUUUUUGGGCACUCCGCCCUUCAGUGUCGCCAACGCUACAACCACGCUUAUCAGGCGGAUGAGUACCAUGGCGGCAACAUGGUGACGCACGGCCACGUCGACAACCACUGGCUACUGGACACCGGUGCCACCGACCAUCUCACCAACGACCUUGAUCGUCUAACGAGCAUGAGCGCCACAGUGGGAAGGACCAAGUGCAUGUUGCAAACGGUGCAGGACAAACUCACGAGGAAGGUGCUUCUUCUCGGUAGAAGCCGCAAUGGCCUCUACCCUAUACCGUUUCGUCAGUCAUCGUCAUCAUCGCAUCAAGCUUUUUCCAGCAUUCGUUCUUCUUCAAGCCACUGGCACCAUCGUUUGGGUCACCCAUCAAAUAAUGUAGUUGAGUCUGUCGUUCGUUCAAAUAAACUCUCUUGUUCGUCGAAUAAUGAGACUUUUGUUUGUGACGCGUUGACCAAAAGCCAUCAAUUGCCAUAUCAUAAUUCAUCACGUAUUUCGACAACACCUCUUGAGCUUGUGCAUACCGAUGUGUGGGGGCCUGUCCUUGCUUCAUCUAGCGGGUUUAAAUAUUAUGUUAGUUUUGUGGAUGAUUUCAGCCGCUUCACAUGGAUUUACCUUCUUAAACAUAAAUCGGAUGUUGAACAAGUUUUCUAUAAUUUUCAAUCUCAUGUCGAACGUCUUCUCAAUACAAAAAUCCGUGCGAUCCAAUCUGAUUGGGGUGGUGAAUACCACCGCUUGCAUAAAUUUUUUCAGCGUGUUGGUAUUUCCCAUCGUGUGUCUUGUCCUCACACCUCACAACAGAACGGUAUAGCCGAGCGCAAGCAUCGUCAUUUGGUUGAGACCGGGCUUGCCCUCCUCGCUCAUUCCUCCCUUCCACUUCGCUACUGGGAUGAAGCAUUCCUUACCGCGUGUUAUCUUAUUAAUCGCAUGCCUAGUAUGACCCUCCACAACAUCACACCCAUGGAGCGCCUCCUCAAUGUCACUCCUGACUAUUCGUUCCUUCGCAUUUUUGGAUGCGCAUGUUGGCCUAGUCUUCGCAAAUACAACUCUCGUAAACUUGAGUUUUGA